GGGCAGAGUGAGAUGGAGCUUGGCUGCGGAGUCUCCCUGAUCUUUCCAUGGAUAUCUGCAGCACCUGGGGUCCACGGCAAAACUCUUUCCUUCAGAGGCCAAGAGCUGAGUCUACAAUUUCAAGCAGGGUCCUGUAUGAGCUGCCAAAGAACUACAUAUGCACCAGACGUACGUACACAUGUAUGCUGAACGCAUGGUGUCUGGGCAGGAGCUGCACAGCUCUGGGGUCAGUUGGAUUUCUCAUGUACUCUUACUGUACUCUGCACAGUUAAAACACCUUCAACCAAGAUCAAGAUAUCAAACACUGCACCAACACUUUCGUUAUUUGAUCCUACCAAGAAAGCUAAUGAAUGGAUACUUGCUGCUCAGUUCAGAAGAAGCGCCUGUGACCUGCUUUUACCCUCCAUGCAAGGACUAUUUUAAUCAAUUAUCCAUCCAAAAGCUCUGAAACUAAAUCUUCAGGGCAUACGUAUUUCUCCUCAGAUGCCUAUCCUGACAUAGCUAAGAUGCAUAGGGAAGGCUUAGAAGUGUCAGCCUGUCUGCUGUUUUCAAGCUCCUACUUUGUGCUGGGAUAACAGUGUGCUCAAAUGGAUUCUGACAGGCUUUCAAACAUCAUCUCUCCAAGCAGGUCUGUUCUGGUUAAAGGUUAAAGGAGACUUUCAAAAGUACUCCUAGCAUGGAGGUGCUUAACUGUUUAAGUGGGAAGUGGCCUGCCAGCUUCUAUGAGUGGGAAGUCCCUCAGGAGGUCAUUGUACCACUGUUAAGAACUCACCAUUUAAACCUUGGUGCUGCCAUGUUUGCUGAAUAUGAAUGGACAGUCUAAAAAUGUCCUUAGAGCUAAUUGUGUGCCUGCUUUGAUACAUCAGGCCAUUACUGCAAAGGUGUCAGGUGGUACAAAUCUACAAAAGGAAAUUAACGCUGGAUGGACUUUAGGAGGAAUGGUUCUUUCCUCAGCGCUGUUGUCUGCACUGAUUUAUCCAACUAGA